rnacentral:rRNA from 1 species
AAAUUGAAGAGUUUGAUCAUGGCUCAGAUUGAACGCUGGCGGCAGGCCUAACACAUGCAAGUCGAGCGGUAGCACAGAGAGCUUGCUCUCGGGUGACGAGCGGCGGACGGGUGAGUAAUGUCUGGGAAACUGCCUGAUGGAGGGGGAUAACUACUGGAAACGGUAGCUAAUACCGCAUAACGUCGCAAGACCAAAGUGGGGGACCUUCGGGCCUCAUGCCAUCAGAUGUGCCCAGAUGGGAUUAGCUAGUAGGUGGGGUAAUGGCUCACCUAGGCGACGAUCCCUAGCUGGUCUGAGAGGAUGACCAGCCACACUGGAACUGAGACACGGUCCAGACUCCUACGGGAGGCAGCAGUGGGGAAUAUUGCACAAUGGGCGCAAGCCUGAUGCAGCCAUGCCGCGUGUGUGAAGAAGGCCUUCGGGUUGUAAAGCACUUUCAGCGGGGAGGAAGGCGUUAAGGUUAAUAACCUUGGCGAUUGACGUUACCCGCAGAAGAAGCACCGGCUAACUCCGUGCCAGCAGCCGCGGUAAUACGGAGGGUGCAAGCGUUAAUCGGAAUUACUGGGCGUAAAGCGCACGCAGGCGGUCUGUCAAGUCGGAUGUGAAAUCCCCGGGCUCAACCUGGGAACUGCAUUCGAAACUGGCAGGCUAGAGUCUUGUAGAGGGGGGUAGAAUUCCAGGUGUAGCGGUGAAAUGCGUAGAGAUCUGGAGGAAUACCGGUGGCGAAGGCGGCCCCCUGGACAAAGACUGACGCUCAGGUGCGAAAGCGUGGGGAGCAAACAGGAUUAGAUACCCUGGUAGUCCACGCCGUAAACGAUGUCGAUUUGGAGGUUGUGCCCUUGAGGCGUGGCUUCCGGAGCUAACGCGUUAAAUCGACCGCCUGGGGAGUACGGCCGCAAGGUUAAAACUCAAAUGAAUUGACGGGGGCCCGCACAAGCGGUGGAGCAUGUGGUUUAAUUCGAUGCAACGCGAAGAACCUUACCUGGUCUUGACAUCCACAGAACUUUCCAGAGAUGGAUUGGUGCCUUCGGGAACUGUGAGACAGGUGCUGCAUGGCUGUCGUCAGCUCGUGUUGUGAAAUGUUGGGUUAAGUCCCGCAACGAGCGCAACCCUUAUCCUUUGUUGCCAGCGGUCCGGCCGGGAACUCAAAGGAGACUGCCAGUGAUAAACUGGAGGAAGGUGGGGAUGACGUCAAGUCAUCAUGGCCCUUACGACCAGGGCUACACACGUGCUACAAUGGCAUAUACAAAGAGAAGCGACCUCGCGAGAGCAAGCGGACCUCAUAAAGUAUGUCGUAGUCCGGAUUGGAGUCUGCAACUCGACUCCAUGAAGUCGGAAUCGCUAGUAAUCGUAGAUCAGAAUGCUACGGUGAAUACGUUCCCGGGCCUUGUACACACCGCCCGUCACACCAUGGGAGUGGGUUGCAAAAGAAGUAGGUAGCUUAACCUUCGGGAGGGCGCUUACCACUUUGUGAUUCAUGACUGGGGUGAAGUCGUAACAAGGUAACCGUAGGGGAACCUGCGGUUGGAUCACCUCCUUACCUUAAAGAA